rnacentral:misc_RNA from 1 species
AUUGGUUUAGCUCAAGCCCAAAAGUAUGUUAAAUCUCAUUCUUCCUAUGGAUUCCUUCUAUCAAAAGUCUCUAAUAAUUCACCUAGUCACAUCGAGUAACUCGCCCGAGUUCACUCUCCUCAAUCGGGCUUUGACUAGAUCCUCAGUCACGGGCCGGAGUGGAGCCCCUUGCGAGCCCGCCAAUCCACUUUCCCCACAGUCUCUCUUCUCCAACUCGCUUGUCAACUCAGGCCUCAACUCGGCG